UCCUGGUUAGCUCAGUUGGUAGAGCGCUCCACUUGUAAUGGAGAGGUCCCGGGUUCGAUACCCGGACCAGGCA
rnacentral:tRNA from 2 species